CGAGCGGCGGACGGGUGAGUAACGCGUAGGAAUCUACCUAGUAGUGGGGGACAACCAGUGGAAACGCUGGCUAAUACCGCAUACGCCCUACGGGGGAAAGAGGGGGAUCCAUUUAUGGACCUCUUGCUAUUAGAUGAGCCUGCGUCGGAUUAGCUAGUUGGUGGGGUAAAGGCCUACCAAGGCGACGAUCCGUAGCUGGUCUGAGAGGAUGAUCAGCCACACUGGGACUGAGACACGGCCCAGACUCC
rnacentral:rRNA from 1 species